rnacentral:lncRNA from 1 species
CGAAUGAAGACCUCACCUCCACUGAAAAAAUAAGACCAGCUUCUCAACUCAUCCAGAUCUUCCCUCUCCAUCGCCACCGGGCGCCAUUACACGAUCCAAGCUGAGAAACAAGAAGAUGACGCUCCAUCUUCACGGGGGCUCAGCUGUAUGUGUGAACGGGGAGCCGGGGGAGUGGAAAGGCGGGCUCUUGGAGCGCCGGCCAGCGUUGACUUCGUUAGGCGACCGCCUCCGUCCGAAACCGAGAGCAGUCGCCGCGGGCGCUGCAGUCAACGGGCUGAGAAGGGCAGCUCCGAGAAUUGGAGAGGGGAACUACUGAUGGGCGGGUUGCUUAAUUAAUGCCUCCCCGAUUAACGGUACCAAAAUUUUCUUAGUACCUCUCCUGUUCCCGUCGGAGUGGUCCUCCCGAAUCUCAACUGAUCGAAGCUGCGGCGUCAACUUAUUUAUCCCGGACAAGUCAACACCAGACUUAUCUGAUUAGUUUAAUCAAGCCUAGAAAUUGGCCUCCGAUAGGUUGCACCCGCGCCAACUUUUUUUAUCAGCUGAAUCCUACAAUGGGUUCUCGCCUAUGGUUGGCUCACAACCGGAAGAACCCAUCAACUAGAUCACAUCGAGCGGGUCAACGGCCUAGGCUACUCUGGGAUAGAACCCCCCAGGGAGAGCCCCACUCUACCCUGUUCUUGGUAGAGACAAUAAUAAUAACAACAACAACAAUAAUAAUAAUGAUAGUAAUCCAAGGAAGAACGUCAUACACAGCGAAGGAAUCAAGAACCAUGCAAGGCAGAACAUAAAACGAUCGAGAAAAGAGUCAACUGGCGCGUCAACGUCGCAUAGGGUUCAUGCUAUCAUCAUAGGGCGGCCUUGGGCUCAUUUUUUCCCAAGAUCUCAACUAAUAUACAUAUAUAAUACGUGGGGCCCACGAGGAGCAACGUCACAUAGGGUUCAUGCUAGCAUCAUAGGGUAGCCUCGGGCUCCAAUAGAAACAUUUUUCUGCAAGAUCCCAAGGGGGCCCACGGGGAGCAACGUAGAUUGUGGGAAGGUCAACGGCCAUGUGCGCCCUCGCAGGCAAGCUCCUCACUCGUUUGCUGUGAAACCAGGGCAUGCAUUCAAAGAAGAGGGGGUUCCACUUGGGCGUGGUGGGCAGGAAAGCUCGCAGCUUCCGAUGGGCGUCUUCCAAGUAGUCACGUGUUCCAGAGCGGGGGCGAGGCUGCGCGGUCUCCUGCAAGAGAACGACGAGUUAAAGCCAUUAGAACCGGGGAUCAAUCGGAUGAGGAGACUGGACAUGAAAAAACCAGGUCACCUGACCAGCAACCGAGCCAAGGUUGGCAAUCGCAUCCCAACGAUCCUCCAUUAAAAAUGGGCCCCAUAAAGAGAGAGAGAGAGAGAGAGAGAGAGAGAGAGAGNNNNNNNNNNNNNNNNNNNNNNNNNNNNNNNNNNNNNNNNNNNNNNNNNNNNNNNNNNNNNNNNNNNNNNNNNNNNNNNNNNNNNNNNNNNNNNNNNNNNNNNNNNNNNNNNNNNNNNNNNNNNNNNNNNNNNNNNNNNNNNNNNNNNNNNNNNNNNNNNNNNNNNNNNNNNNNNNNNNNNNNNNNNNNNNNNNNNNNNNNNNNNNNNNNNNNNNNNNNNNNNNNNNNNNNNNNNNNNNNNNNNNNNNNNNNNNNNNNNNNNNNNNNNNNNNNNNNNNNNNNNNNNNNNNNNNNNNNNNNNNNNNNNNNNNNNNNNNNNNNNNNNNNNNNNNNNNNNNNNNNNNNNNNNNNNNNNNNNNNNNNNNNNNNNNNNNNNNNNNNNNNNNNNNNNNNNNNNNNNNNNNNNNNNNNNNNNNNNNNNNNNNNNNNNNNNNNNNNNNNNNNNNNNNNNNNNNNNNNNNNNNNNNNNNNNNNNNNNNNNNNNNNNNNNNNNNNNNNNNNNNNNNNNNNNNNNNNNNNNNNNNNNNNNNNNNNNNNNNNNNNNNNNNNNNNNNNNNNNNNNNNNNNNNNNNNNNNNNNNNNNNNNNNNNNNNNNNNNNNNNNNNNNNNNNNNNNNNNNNNNNNNNNNNNNNNNNNNNNNNNNNNNNNNNNNNNNNNNNNNNNNNNNNNNNNNNNNNNNNNNNNNNNNNNNNNNNNNNNNNNNNNNNNNNNNNNNNNNNNNNNNNNNNNNNNNNNNNNNNNNNNNNNNNNNNNNNNNNNNNNNNNNNNNNNNNNNNNNNNNNNNNNNNNNNNNNNNNNNNNNNNNNNNNNNNNNNNNNNNNNNNNNNNNNNNNNNNNNNNNNNNNNNNNNNNNNNNNNNNNNNNNNNNNNNNNNNNNNNNNNNNNNNNNNNNNNNNNNNNNNNNNNNNNNNNNNNNNNNNNNNNNNNNNNNNNNNNNNNNNNNNNNNNNNNNNNNNNNNNNNNNNNNNNNNNNNNNNNNNNNNNNNNNNNNNNNNNNNNNNNNNNNNNNNNNNNNNNNNNNNNNNNNNNNNNNNNNNNNNNNNNNNNNNNNNNNNNNNNNNNNNNNNNNNNNNNNNNNNNNNNNNNNNNNNNNNNNNNNNNNNNNNNNNNNNNNNNNNNNNNNNNNNNNNNNNNNNNNNNNNNNGAUAAAUGAAUUGAAGAAUGAACACAUACCAUCACAAGCUUGGUCAGUUUUCUUUGAGAUGACUCAACGUAAUGGUUUAUCUUUGCUUGCGACUUGGGUAACUUAUGACUGGAUACUGACCCAGAAACCUUGUCUACAGUCUUUUUUACAAUUGUUUUGAAUGCCUCCUUGCUCAUGUUCCCCUGUCGCCAUGAUGGCUUGAGAACUUCUUUCACAAAGUUCGCCAGCGCAAUCUUUAAAAGCUUCAUUGACUUAGAAUCUUUGCUUUUCUUGCUCAUCCCAGGAGACCGGACCUGAUCGACUUCAACCUCUCCCAUCUCCUUAUCCAGUAAAUCAAUUGGGCUCCCAGGACUCUCAUUCUCCACAGCACCCACUUCUGCUUCUGGUGCUGUCUCACCAAAUUCAUCAUUAUCAAACUUAACACCGAUAGAAGCACCAACUUUACGUUUAUUGUUCUCUUCAACGUCAGCAGGCACAUGAAUGCUGCUGCCAAUAUCUGUCUCAUGAACAGCAGGGUCUUGCUCUUGGGAGCAACUAACCAUCUUUGAUACCCUAGAAGACGGCUCGAUGCUGUCGAAAAGUGGAUCAUAUUGAUCACUAACAGGUGGCUCCACCCCAAAUUGCUUCGGUGCAACCUCUUCCUCUGACUGUUGCCAUGGCUUGUUGUGUAUCAACUCUCCUGUUUGAGCAGUUGAAGAUGACCCACCAGGUCUAUCUAAGAAUGCCAUUUUUUUCCCUUCUGUACUCGGAGGUGAAGAGGCUACAUCUGAUAACCCAUGUCCAGACCUCAGAUUAUGGCCAUGAACGAAGGAAGAAUCGUACUUACUGCCAAUAUUCGAGCUGUUCUCCUGUCUAAAGCCGCUGGACACAAAUCCUGAACUUGUUGCUGUCUGUUCAAAAACAGAUGAAGAUGGGUUAUAAUGGGUUGGCCCUGAAACCUUAGGCAAGCCAACUUCAGGUACGUGAGAACGUAGUUCACUCUCUGGAAUGCUUGGUGGAUAUCUUGAGGGAUUGUUGUUGCCAGUUGCACCCUUGUUUGAAAGGAAAUUGCUGCCAGAUUGGUGCUGCAAGCUUGGUGGUGCCUGUUUAGAGUAAGGCAUUCCUCCAGCGGAUUCGUCUCUCGCAAGAGAACCAUAGCCUUGAGAAUUUAUAUUUUGCUCUGGAGGUUGAACGUAUCCCCCUUCCUGGACAGAAUGAUGGCCUUCUACCACUGAAGAGCGAAGAGACUGCUCCUUUCUGGUGAAUUCAGUUCCUCCAAGUGGUUGACCAAGUGGAGUCUCACUAUGCCGGGGCCUUUGCGUGAACUCAUUCAUGGGAUUUCGCUCCUCAGUUGGAUGGAGUACUUGCCGGUUGUCAAGAAUCAAAUUGCUUUGUGAGGGAAACUCAACUCCCAGAUAGACAGCACUUUGCUGAGUAUGCGACUGGGAACUUUUUUCCGAAAUAAGAUGUCUUGCAGUUUCAUCAGCUGUUGGCUUUGGAGGUGCAGAAGCAGAAUGAUAAUCACUAGUUGCAGAAGUUCGACCAGUAGGAAAUCCAUCGACAGGGGAAGGCUGAGGCAAAAUAUUUGUUCUGGGUGUUUGCAAGGUGUUCUCUGCCACAGGUUGCUGCCCGCGAAAUGAAAACUGAGGACGAUAACCGUCGGUUGGCGGCAGCAGCGUCUGGGAGUAGGAUGGAAAGGAGGGAGGGUUCCCCUGAAAUGAUGGUGGAUGUUUCUGAGACUGGUGAAGAUGCAAGUCUCCACUCAAAAGACUAGAUGACUGAGCAAAAUGAUGAAACCCAGGAACUUGAUUUUGAUAUGAUAGGAACACAGGACCUGGCAUUGAUUUUGAUAUGAUAGGUAUUUCAACAGCGUGCGGUUGAGCAGCAGACAUCAGGCUCUGAGAGGGCAAAAGACUCUGCGUGGGAACAGACUGAGUCACGGAAGGGCCUGAAACCAGAUGCUGAGAGGGCAAAAGUUUUGGAGGUUCCGACUCAUUAGGCAGCACAGAAACAGCCGGUUGAGGCAAAGUCGUAUGAUUUUCAGCCAAUAAGGGACGAUCGAGGUGAUCUUCACGGGGCAAUUUUUGUGUUUCAGGUGCAGAUGAACCUUGGUCGUAUGAGCUAUCAUCUGCCACAGUAUGGUUGUCACCUGAUGGCUUCAGUUCAGUAUCCUCCAUCAAGCGAGAAUCAGGUGCUUCCUGCAAUUUUUCAGUUUGAUCUGAUCCUGGCAACAGGUCAAAUUCCUCAUGAGAAGCCAGCUCAUGAUCCACUUCUCCAGUAGUCUUUGGCUGAUGUUGUUCACGUGGGAAAACAUGUUUUCCAUCCUUCUGCAUGGAAUCCAAACUGCUCUGCCCACUUGGACCUUCAUCUUUUAUACUGCUGGAAAGUAAAUCAGCUUUAUCUGAAAAAACCUGUCUCCUUCCAUCCAGUAAGAAUCUCUCAUUCUGAAUGGCAGUCUCCUUCUCUAAACCCCUAACACCAUGACUCUGUUCACGACGCACAUGCCUGUCGGAAACUUGAGAGACAUUUCGAUAAUCCUCGUGCUUAUUCUUAAAACGUCCAAUAUCAUGAUGGAGAUACCGGCAAGAUGCUCCACGAUAGCACCGGCCUCUGAGAAAGUUGAAGCACUCUGGAGGCCGGCCACGGCCUCUUCUUCGGUGAUCUCCCAUUUGCCUAGGUGGAGCUCGGGGGGAUUUGCUCCUGCUGUGUCCUCUUGGUGACCAGCUGAAAGAGAUUUACACUAAAAACUAAGAACUCGUGCAUGGGUAACUAACCAAAAAAAUUCCAACUUCAAGAUCACAUUCAGCAACAGUGAGGAACCCCAAAUAUUAACUGAAUGUACGAUAUUGUACCUUUGAGAUUGACUUCGCCUUUCUCUCCACCUCCAUGGACUCCGGCUUCUUCUCCUCUUUCUUUCUUGAGGCGACUGACUUCUGCUCCGACUUCUGCCUCUCCUAACAUACUUCCUCUCAUAAGACAUCUCCUCUGAGUCACUGCUACUUGCACCUUCUUUGGCCAUCCUUCCAAACUCGUCCACUUUUAAUAAAGAGCCUUUGGUAGCGUAUUUUUCCCUGUGAAAUUCUCUAACCCGAGCAUUAAAAGGACCAUCCUCAUCUUCAUCAAUAUCUCUAUGACGUGAGGUUUUAAAGGCUCUUUUAUCCAAUAUUCGUCCAUCUCUCUUCUCGCCUCCAAAAUAGUCGGUCCUUUCCUUGUUAGCUUGUGAGCUUCCAACAAUAUCCGCAUGAGCUGUGCCAAUGCGUGACUGACUGCUUUUUUUAGCAACAGGAGCACUUUUUGAGAGCAAAGGCGAACAUGACUCGGCAUUCUCUUUCUCGAAUGAUGUGCCAAGAUCAUUCCUGGAUGAAACAAGGUCAGAAGUACCACAUACAAUCAACUCCUUUCCAUCAUCCCCCCCACUGUCAUCAGAAGAAUAAUCUUGAAUAAGCCUGAAUGGACUUCCACCUUUAAUGCAUACGGUAGGUGCCUCCAAACUUUGCCUGUCGGAAUGAGACAAGGGAGCAGCAACCGUAGCAGCAUCUUCAAUGGUUGACCUCACGGGUUGCUGCGCACUUCGAAUUGAUACGCCUGGCACAGCCUGAUUUGAGAUUGUUGAAGUAUGAUGUGCAGAGGAUCUAUCAACAUCUGAAAAGUUAUCAUCCGUAAUGAGAAUGUAAGAUUCACAAGACCCAAAAACAUUGUUAAAAUUAUGAUUCGCGGCAAUGCAUAAGUACUACGAUACACAGAUUGAAGAAUGUUAUGGUAAAUAUCACUGAACGAUAAAAGAUGGAUUCCAGGAAAAAAAAAGAAGACCAUUGCAUCAACAAAUCUUGCUGUGAUGCAACAAAAAGGAAAAUAAGCUGUAACACCAAAUCCACAACAAACACGUAGACCAAAAUACCAAAAGACAGGUCCAAAUACAACUUUCACAAUUUGAGCUCUCCAGUCAUCCGAUCAAAAGAAAUCAAGAAUUAUACUUGUCGAUUUAUUUCAAAUCUCUUAGCAUCAUUACACCAAGAAAUAUGACGUCUCAUAAAGCCUGCACAGGUCAACAUGUAUCCACGUCUUUUUUAGAAAACUAAUAGGACAUUUAGAAAGAAAGAUUUCCAAUCUUUCUCCAACGGUCGAGAGUAUAUGGUUUUUGAGAUACUCGUCAAAAUCGGCAGUCAUUAGUCACUUUAUAAAGGACUGCAUUUGUUGGUAGCUAUCUACCGCAGCCAUAGUUGUCAUAAGCAUCAUGCGCUUUUUCUGCCUUCUCAAGAUACAGCUAGUUCCCUUGUCAACGAGCUGAUGUUUGACUUCUAAUAAUUGAUUGGUGGUCUUGAGGAAGAAAACAUGACCAGCCAAAUAUACGUUAAUCCUCAGCAUAGAAAGUACGAUGGUGGGCAAUAUGUAGCGUAAAGUGAUAAGCAUGAUUCUCAGUAAAAAUAAUAUUUUUACAGGAAUCGCAAUAUCAUAAAAAUUUGGAACUUUUUCAGAGGAAUAUUUGUCCCCGCCCAAUGAAAGCAAUGACAUAUUCUGUGUCUGCAGGUCGGAAGCAUUUGAAGAGUACACGCACAAAAGCACAUGUAAUACUGCAUCAUCUCAUCGUGUCAUACAAAAAGAAAAUCUGUGCUGAUUUAGAAAGAAAGUAAAUGUACAUGACAGAAGAAAACAAGAGGCAGAAAGUUCUUCUAAUUAUUACCAUAUCUUUCCUGAUUUAGGAAAGACGACUUUGAAGUUGGUAAAAAGUCCGGCAAAGGCAUCUCAGCCAUUCCUUCCUCAGUAAUGUUUGAACGCGCACGAAAUUGUUCUUCUGUAACAGGUUGGCUCAUGACUUCUUCAUUUGAUUCCUUGCUCAAUUCUGCAAUUCCUUGUCUUAUCUCAGGUUGGCUUGCAUCGUCUAUUGAAUACACAUGGGAAAAAUCCCAAUCAUGUUCCACAGAUAAUGAAGAAAUACAGAAAAAAAUAAAAGAUAUAUACGUGUAUACCUAUAACAAAAUCAAAUGCUAGAGUGCUAAUUUUGGAAUUAAGAACAGAAAAAAAUGCCUUUAUCCCGAGAAGCGCUUAGGUCGUCUUUGACUUCUGGAAACUUAAAAAUGAAAAUAAGAUAAAAGUUCAUGCAAGUACAUGAAAAAAAUAAGAAAUAGACAAACCAUUGACAAAAAUUAUUUUUAAAGAUACUAAAAACACUAUAUAAGAAGGGUACAAGAAAAACUCUUGAGAGUGAACUCUCUCCCAGAUACAGAUAGCUCGAAACCCUAAAUCUAUGCUCUCAGGAAUUCAAAACAAUUAGCUCACCCCCAAAAAUACAACCCAGAUGCAAAAAACAUUCCAGGUUUUUAUGUAAAGUGGCCUCAAUUUGUGUACACGAACCAGUAAGUCAAUCUUUCACAAAGGAAAGUACAAUCAAAAAGUUGAUAAAAAUAUAAUGGUCAUCCUUUCUAGAUCUACACGCGCUUCUUCCUAUUCUAGGAGGAAAAAAAAAACUCUUCUUCCAAUAGUCAUGCUUCAUACACAAGGACAGGGCGAACUCAUACCGCAAAAAAACAAAAAGAGGGAAGGCAGACUAGUUGUAGGCAAACCUUCUUUUUACCGGUAAAAAGGAUAAUGAUAAAAGAAAUGCCCCUAAAAAAUCAGAAGAUCUGAGGCCAUUUGAUUGUGUACUGCCCCCGAAUAUGGAACUGAAUGACUAGGUUACCGUUUCUUCCGAUAGGAUAUUCAAUUAUGUGCUGACCCUCGGUUCAAUUUAGAUACCCUAAAAAACCGUCAGUUUAGAUGACAUCUGUUCUACUCAUCCAAGUAACACAAAUCGACCUGCUAUGAGUCCAGUACUCACGUGUUUCAGGCCUAUGUUUAGUUUUGGACUAUCAUAAAGGUCCUUGUUCAUUUUGAGGUAUUUUAGUUUGAUACUGUAAUAUUAUACACAGCACGUAUUUGAGGUUUGGAGGCCAUGUAUCAUAACAAACCAAAAGAGAAAUUUACUGAAACUGUUUAUACUACACUGUUUCUCUCCAAACUGACAUAACUCCUCAAAAUAAUAAUGUAGAUCACUCCUAACGCCCAACGAAAUAAAUGUGUUACAGUAGCAGAAGACAACAAGAGCGCUAUUGUCCAAAGAUGUCCUCAAAUGUUAUCUCGAAUCAGUCCUCAUCCUCCAAAACUAGCAGGGUCAAAGUCAAAAUAUUCUGAGCAUAUAAAGUAUAAGAUUUGAUGUACUACUGCAGGAACUAUCUGACUAGAGCGCACUUUUCUUGACCAACUUUUACAAUCAUCGUAAAGAUUUCAUGAACCUUGAUAAGACCAGAAUGCUUGGAAUCAAUACUUAACAAUAGAUCAGCCAUUUCAUUCUUAGAAAUCAUCUUGCUCGUCUAUUUUCUAUAUUUCAUCAAAAUGUCCACUUUUGUACGUGAUAAUCCCCUGUAUACCUCAUGCAACAGCAGAGCCAAUAAGCCAUGACUACCAGUGAAAUGCCCCACACAGUGAAGCAUCAAUUAUAAUUCAAGAUCAUAAUUAUGGAAAAGAGUUAUACUACGCAACACAGUCAUGUGACAGAUGAAACUGAUGAAUUUUAACAUUUCAUGAUAAUUAUGCCAGCAAAAGAUGGGAAUCAUUACAGUAAUGAAUGGAUUUUCCCUGAAAUAAAUCUUAAAAAAACAAUAGGAUGCAGAAUUUAAAUAAUACCAUCCAUGUCCAUGUCUGAUUCAGCCGGCGACGAAGAUUUACUUUCACCACCAGAGUUCUGAAGUGCAGAUCCUUGAGUUGAAAAGCCAAGCUCGGAAUUAUCUGAUUCAAAACGAUACUUUCUCUUCAUCCACUUGAAAUAAUCAUAUCCAAUGGCAGCUGCACUCCCGGGCUCCCCACCAAAUAAAAAGGAAAAAGAUGGGUUGUUGGCUUCCUUCAUACGAGCUAAGUUCUCAAACUGAGGUCCAACAUUGACCAUGAACUUGCACAAUGUUUCGAUGUUAUGAACAACGUCUUCUGCUGGCCUAGUUGGGGGUGAGGAAUGAUGACCCGGAGUUUCUGUUUUCUUCUCGGAGCAUUCUGGCUCAACUUUGCAAACUUUAUCACUGGAAUAAACACUGGGAACUGGAACAGUACCGAUCAACUGGCCUUCAUUUCCAGGGCAAUUAGUGAUAUUACUAUCUGGCUCGUGGUCCUUCAUAACCUCUCGAUCUGGCAUUUCUUGAGGCUUUAUUACCGGUUGUUCUACAGCCUGUGCCCUUGGGGAGGGUGAAGGAGAAGGAGGGGGCGGGGGUGGAGGCGGAGGUGGAGGCAGUGAAGGUGGAGGGGCAUCAUCCAUUGAACCACGCAAAAAUGGCACGAAUGGAGGAGGACUUAUAGUGACAAAGCUGGGUGGAGGUGGAGGAUGUGGAUGGUGUGCAUGGUGUAUUCCUGGUGGGGGUGGGAGGGGAUUCCUAUACAGAAGCUGGCCUUGAGGAGAAACUCCUGGUGGGGCCAAUCCUCUAGGGGGUGGAAAAGCAGGGGGUGGUAUACGAUGAGCAUUCUGGUUCCCUGCCUGCGGCGGGUAUGGCGCCCCUGCUUGGGUUUGUGGUGCGUAAGAAUGGAGAACAGGGUUACUGCCAUAAUUUGAUGGAGGUGGUGGUUGCCUGUGCAUACGAGGUUGGCCCAUAUCCAUCAUUCCAGGGGGUGGAUGGCGGGCUGCUUGUGAAGGUGGGUGGGGCUGGGAAUACACGGUUGAUGGAAGCAGUGCAUGUGAGUGUAGGUUUGAAGGUGGAUGAGGGAGGCCUGGAUGAAGUGGAGGAGGUGGUGUCCCUGUAAGAGGCACUUGCUGGAAAGGGGGCAGUGAGGAGGACGUCGUAGGUGCUUGAAAAGAAGGGGGAGGAGCAGGAUAUCUGUGCCUGAACUGAGGUGCAUGGUUAGCCUGUCCGUACAUCUCGUUUAAAACUUGCCUCCCCUGGAUAGAGUCUCCGAAGCUCACUGAAACAUGAACCAUCACACAAUUGGUUACCUUGCCAAUGAACUUCAAACGAAAUACGAAGCGCUCAAACAGUUUCCAGUGCCAGAAGACUUAUCAUAAAUGACAGAAAGGCCUAGAUAGAGAGAAUUGAAUGGGAAUCUAAUACGAAAAAAAAUUAGGUCCAGGUAUUCAGACAAAGAACCGAAAAUUGCGAAUAGGGAAUCCAGUAAAUCGCAAAACCCGAGCACUAAGCAAUAACACCUCUAACUAUGUUUCGAAAAGACUCCGAUGAGAGAAGAAUAAGCAAUUCAAUCCACAGCGAAGAUAAAUUUCACAGAGGAGAAAACCACGUGAAAAACAGGGGCGACGAAACACAGACAAAGAGUAAAGAAACAGCAUCCCACCCCUACUCCGAGAGGAGUGAAUAGCAUGAGUGAACGCCACGCCGGCAGAGGUCAAUCGCGUACCUUUCUUUCGAGUGGGAGCAAACCGGAGGCCCAAUCCACCAGUAGGAAUGCAAUCUUCUCCUCGCCCAAUGGAAGCUUAACCACGAACAGCGAACCUAGGGCUCCGAUUUGGCCUCGACAUCUCCAUGAAGCGGGCAACCACCACAGGAGACUAAACCCUAGGACGUCCUACUGGACACUCCUCCCUCCGACAUGAAAUACCAGAUUCGAGUUGUAUAGCUUUACAGUUAAUUGCCGCGACGUGAGCGAACGAGAGAAAGAAGAGAGAGAAAGAAGAGAGAGAGAGAGUGAGGACGACGGGCGAUCCAAUUGAGAACAGGAGAGUGAGCCAUUUGAGAGGGAACCGGAAGGCACUCCGAUCGGACGGUCGAGACACGCGGAGGGGGGAACGCCAAUUGAGGACCACCGUCGAUCUGCGAAACCGAAAGGGCGUCGUCCGAUUGAGAUCUGACGAUCAUCUAUUUUUAAGUCACCGAAAAUAAUAUCCUUUUCUGCAUUUGUUAACAGUAUACUUUAACGGCUUUUUAAAUAUAUAUUGUACUUAUUAUAUUUAGCGUAUUUAUUAUUGCGUCCAGAAAACACAGGAUGUGACCCAUUUUUGGGGUCUAAUUUGCAUAAAAUUAUCACGUUUAAUUAUAAUAUUUUCCAAAAAUAUCCAACUAAAUAUCGUGAUCUGGACAGUUGACCGAAAAGUCAGAUGCUGCUUAAAUUAAUAUAAUUAAAAAUAGGGCGUGUAUAAUUUAAUUAUAGGGUAGAAGUAUAUAUAUUUUUUAAUUAGUAGGAAACAUUCGUAAAAUAAUUUCCAAUGAUUAUCAUAUUGGGACCAAACGUCAUCAAGAAUAUUAUUUAUUUAUUUAAUAUAAUCCAAUAUUCGAUAAUGUGCUCAUAAAUUACUCUUUUUUCUGCUGCUUCAGCUAGCCUGCACCUUCGUCUUCACCAUUUGGUACGACGUCUCGUCUCAUCUUCUCUCUCUCUCUCUNNNNNNNNNNNNNNNNNNNNNNNNNNNNNNNNNNNNNNNNNNNNNNNNNNNNNNNNNNNNNNNNNNNNNNNNNNNNNNNNNNNNNNNNNNNNNNNNNNNNNNNNNNNNNNNNNNNNNNNNNNNNNNNNNNNNNNNNNNNNNNNNNNNNNNNNNNNNNNNNNNNNNNNNNNNNNNNNNNNNNNNNNNNNNNNNNNNNNNNNNNNNNNNNNNNNNNNNNNNNNNNNNNNNNNNNNNNNNNNNNNNNNNNNNNNNNNNNNNNNNNNNNNNNNNNNNNNNNNNNNNNNNNNNNNNNNNNNNNNNNNNNNNNNNNNNNNNNNNNNNNNNNNNNNNNNNNNNNNNNNNNNNNNNNNNNNNNNNNNNNAUCUCUCUCUCUCUCUCUCUCUCUCUCUCUCUCUCUCUCUCUCAUCGUCUGCUGGAUUGGCGGCGGGAGAGGAGGAGGAGGAGGAGGAAGAGGAAGGGGGGGCCCACGUUGGACGAAUAAGCUCGCGCUGUCGUUCUUUGUCUUUUCCUCUCCGACCCGCCGGCAUUUCCUAUUUAUUGUCAAAUCUUUCCAGAUUCUAUAAAAGCUCUCACCCUCUUCCUGCGCAGGGCACUCCGUUCCAAGUCCCAUCUACCCGACCCAGUUCGCCGGUGUACGGUAACGUCUUGGGUGGCCAUCUCCGGCGACAGUCGUCAGAUAGAGUGGUGAGAAGCCGCAGAUCUGUCGUCUCUUUGGUUGGAUUUUUGCUGUUCGCGAUUGUUCUUGUCCUUGUUUCCCCCAGUCGGCGCCAGGGUUUUGCGAUCACGGUUUUUCAGCGGCAGAUCCGGAUUAAUGGACCCUUCUUCUCCCGGAUCUGCCGAUCCUGCGCGGCAUUCUGUAUAUAGUGGAGUUUGUACUAUUACAGUACACAUGAUUUGAGAGUGUUGAGAUGGGAGAUUGGGGGCCGGUCGCUUGUUGUCCCUUUGUCGCCUAUGCUGAAAUAUGGUGAUUUCGCUCCAUCAACACACAUUUUCGCUAAGUUGGCGCCCGAUUAACGAAAUUUAAAUAUUCAAACCAGGGCGAGUUGAACCGCUUUUGUCCUUUUUGGCUUUCGAUUCAAAGCUCUAUGUUCCGCUCCUUGGUAAAUUUUUUUCUUCCCGUUGAUAAGAAGAGGGUGGAAACGGUGGUGGCCCUCUGGAUGUUUGGGAGCCAUGAGUCGUUGAUCCUAUCAAAAUACGUCCCAUACUACGUAGAAAAUAAGUGUCGGCACUAGCGGGCGACGAGAAGAUCACCUAAGCUAGUCCAUAGAUAGCCGCCCGACGUAACCUUUGUGUGCUGUUCAUUUGUUUAUUAUUUUUCUUUUUCGUUUAUAGUUGCACCACGAUGCCAUUCAUUGAUCCCUACCAUCCUCUUUCUUUCUUUUUCUCUAAAUGUUAAAUUAAAACUAUUAUUUUGGUAAAUAAUGGGUAACAUGCGUAACGGGUGUGAUGAAAAGGAAAAAGAAUGGUCGUGGCAAUUGAGACGAAGGGAUCAUAUCGUUUUUCUUGUUUGUCACCAAAUAUCCAAUAAAGCAGAAAAUCAAUGUUUUGGAUAAAAUAAGGUACAUAAGAUUCAUCAUAUAACGCUUGAUCUCUUGUGUUGUUUUACCCUUGGGACGUUGCCUUAGCUUUUCCUCUGAUCUACCCAGAGAGAUUUCCACAUGCACAUGAUGAUGAUCGAUGGCCGGUCUUAACUAAUGUCUUGACGAUAAUCAGGUGGAUUUUGUACAUUAAUGUACAAGUUUGUGAUGACAUUCUUUCUAUUUUAUGUUGUUUAUGGUGCUACUUUUGUCUAUGUUGAGCGUAAGUUUGCCUCUACCUCUUUCACACAUCGAUUUUCUUAGUCUAUUAUUUAUCAGUAAUUUCUUCCAUGCCUCUCAGGGCUUUUUUCUCAUGUGUUCGUAUAAGUUUUGGCUGAUUGGAAUUUUUGGUUUCACUCUUGGAAGUUUAGAAGAAUGGGUCGUGGUGUCAGCAGUGGAGGUGGUCAGAGCUCGUUGGGCUACCUGUUUGGCUCCGGAGAGCCUCCUAAAUCUCCUCCUGCUACUGAUAUUGAAGCACGUGCUCAGAAGCCUGCUGCUCCUCCACCGGUGGAUAAGCAGAUUCCAGCAGGCAUCCAGGGAAACAAUGUGAACAAUUACUUCCGAGCAGAGGGCCAGAACACUGGGAACUUUAUUACGGUUUGAAAUCCUCCAGAUCGAACUUGCGCAUUCGUUUAAACAGCUUUCUGUGGCACAGUCUGAUAGGAAUGCGCUCUUGCGGUUGCAAGACUGCAUCAACUGUUAGAAGCGGAGCAUUAUUUAUAUAUUUAGUUCAAUUCAUCAGCUCAAUCAUCUGUCAGAAUGUUGAGAGAUGUGUUGGAUGUAUCACAUAGUCGGAACCAAUUUAUCCGGAAAUCAUGCGAGUGCUGAACCGAUUAUAGAAUAUUAGAUCCAACCCGUGAAAAUAGGGCUUUCUUGUUAAUUGCAGAUUAAUUGACCGAUCAAAUAAAUUGAGAUUAAAAUUCAAGAGAAUUUUUCUUUUUAGUUGACAAUAGCUAGCCUAUGUUCUUCAUUGCAUCUCCCACUUUUUUUUUAUGCAAGAUUCCUGUGCAGGAUCGGCCAUCAACCAAGGUACAUGCUGCUCCUGGCGGUGGAUCUUCCCUGGGUUACCUCUUUGGCGGUGGAGGCAAUUGAUUCUUCCUUCCGUCUGGUGAAUUUCUUGUGUAUGAAAAAUCUAAGAAUGUCCAAAAAUGCUAUCUAUGUUCUGUUUGGCCGAGGGGCUUCUGUCGCAAGCUAAUAGGUGUGUGUUACUUCUAAUUGGAACUCUCCAUGUAAUGUAGAUUGGUCUUGUUGCCCAUUUGCCUGUCUCAAGCACCUUUAUAUCGGACAAACUCUCGCUCAGCUGCCCUUUCGCUAUGAAAAGAUGUUUGCUGUUUUUAUGAUGCAAUUGCUAUUUUUGGGCCUAAUAUUUGGCUGAGGGUCUUAUAUUUCACCCGUCUUGGCUGAGGGUCUUAUAUUUCUGUGGCCUAUUUCUUCUUUAUGAUCAGAUUCUUCUUCUUGAAUUAGGCCACAAAACCUUCACCUUUAUAUAAAGUUCUCACAAGGUUGAUCAUCUACAAUGAGAGGCAGUGCAUCAUCCUGCCCCCCUUGAUUGAAGGAUCUAUAGCACUGUAGCUGAGCCACCGGUUUACGCCAGAGGUUGUGAAGGCCAGCCUGCCGUUCUCAGGCUGAUCAAGAAGACUGGAUCCUCCUUGCCACCGCCAUGCGCUACUGAACAUGCCCGUUGACCAGGUUACCAAGCCCUUCCAAAACAGGCUCUGGGUUGGAGGAGAGAGGACAGUUAGUCAAAGGUCAAUCAUCAGAGGACCUACUUGGAGAGUUGCAGGAGAUGGGUGCAAAAUCUACGACCUUGACUUGGUAACUUGUGAAGAGCUUCUUCGGGUGUGGUGAGGUUCUCGAAAGCUGCUUCCUUUAUUGGGCCAUUGCAACCGGGACUGCUAGGCGAUCGCGUCUCUACUGCCGGGCCCUGGAUAAGGAAGUGGGUAUAUCAUGUGAGACAUAAAAACCAGAUCUUUAAUCCUGCCAGGUCUCAUUUAGCCAUGAGUGGCAAGAAAUAAGUACCCCAAAUCAGAUGACAAAUGGGGAGGGGUUGACCCACGGAGCGGUGGAGGAAAGGGGCUCACCGUGCCUGGGUGAUGAGCAUCAUCAGCUGGAGUCAUGGAGGUGGAGUUUGACCCAGGAGCCUCCUGCUGUGACCCAACUGCCGUUAGGUCUAGAGCAUGAACUGGGUCAACCAAUUCGCAAUCAUGGGGAUUUUUUAUUGCCUGAUGGGUAGCUUUGACAAUCUUCAGUUUCUGCCGGUACUCAUCACCGUCCGUUCCCAUCCUCCUCCUGAUGUGAUGAAGGAAAAAAAUCCUGAUCGAGAGAGCUCCUUGUUGAAAAAAAUAAAUCACAGUCAAAAGCAAGAAAAAACCCACCUUGCCUUGUUGACGAGGGAGUAUCUGCCCGGGUCAAAGCUCGUGUUGCAGGACAGCAAGAUCCCACGGAGGGGUUGACCAUUGAUACUGGUUUCAACAGCAUACCCAUUUGGAAGUCUAUCCACAACCCUAGCAUGAAAAGUCUUCUCUUCGGCAGAACUUUGGUCAUAUGGUGGUACGCCUACACACCCAAUAUAAUUUAAAUUCAGCUCCUAAAAUCUGAUAACCGAAGACCAGGAUGACAGCUGAAAUGAUCUGCCGGAAGGACAUGAACCAUAGACUAUAUAAAAGGUCAUUUUCCUAAUGAAGUGGAUAAAUGGAUCCCGAUACACGAAGUAAAUAUUUUUUUCCCCAAGUUUUUUUGUUGAGUAAAUGAUUUUUUAACUUGUGACUAUUAAAACAAAUGGCUAGAUCAGAAAUUAUUCCUAAAAACAAGCAGAUAGGAUCACACUUCCCAGGAAAGCUGACCUGAAAAUUUUCUGAGAAAACUCAUAAUUAAGAGACUUAAACAGAAAAUACCAGGCUGGGGAGCGACGGAUAUCGACCCAAUCUUAUGCAUGUCGGUGUCAAUCUCAUAUCUGUUUUCUUGACACUUUUUCUUCAGCUCCUUUUUGAAAGAGAACUUCUCUUGCCUUCCAUCAAAGUCCCCGUUUCCAACCUGCAUAUCUACCAAAAAAAAGGAAAGGGAUUGGCGAUAUGAAUGAGAACUAACUAGAUACACAAUAAUCUAUCAUAAUUAUACAGCCCCGUGAAGAAAAAUAGUCACAGUCCCAGACUGAUUAGGAAGAUUAAACACAUGAUUAAAAUAAAUGGGCAAACUCCACUUACAUCUUUCACUUGAUAGUUGAGCCCCAGAUUGCAAACAGACUAUCAAAAUCCAAUUUCUAUAGGGAUCAUACAGUAGAGACUGAAAAUACUCUGGAACUAUGGUCUUAUAUAAAUCAGGAGAAAUUAGGCCAACGAUGAAAGCAUACAAGGCUAUUCCAAUCGGAGCAGAUUGGGUUUGAGUUGGACAGCCUGAUUCCCUCACCCAUAGGAGAUAACAAUCAAAAUGGCGAUCAGAGAGGAGAAAGAUGACGGGGUGAUCCAGCCAUACCUGUGUGUAAAUAAUACAUGUCGUCAAGGGCCUCAAGACUUCCAUUACACCCACCUAUCAACACAAGAAUGCCAUUUCGUGCAUCCACGCAGUCUCCUGCAGCAGAAAAACGGGCUGAUGGUCCCUCAUUCACAUUAGUCACUCUGUUCCAGAUGCCAUUAUCUGCAAGGACAUCAAAAAUUUAAGUCGCGCCAUUGCUGAGAAGGCACUAGAAUUGGUUAAAAAUUAUAUUUGCACACACAAGUAUGGAAAUAUUUAUUCCAUGGAGAUACCCCUUACUAUCAUAAAACAAAGAUAUUUACGUUUUCUGAGAUUUAUAAUUAAAUUGUAGGUGCAAUAAGUCUACCCAAUAGUCACCUGCCUGAGGUAGAAUGCAAAGAACUAUGAUCCCCUAAGUAAUGAUACGUGAAUCAGAGCCUUCUAAAUGAUACUCUGUAAGUAUCAUUACCACCUUAAUUGCUCCUCAAAGGGUUCUCUUAACUCGAUUUAUUUAUAGCAUUGUUUUGUGCGGAUCUUACAGAAAAUGUUGAAGCCUGCUGCGAUAGGGAAAUGAAUAAAAUCAUGGAAAAAUAGCAUUGCAAAUAGAGGAGGAUAGAUAAAAAGAAGGUAGCUCAAAUGACUACCCAAAUACCAUACAUCCAGACACUCCAGGCCUGGUAAUGCGUGUUAAUCUUAUGAAUUUAUCAAUCAGUAAUGCACCUUAUAAAUUAUAUUGCCAACUCCUAAAAUGAUAGGAAAUUGAAGUAUUGAGUGUGAGCACAGAGAAAUUAACAAAUAUUGGAUUUUACUGACCCAUAUUCAACACAUGAAGAUCAUCAUAAAGAUUUCUGUGAUCUGUGAAUCCACCAAAAACAAACAAGUUCCUCCCAAGAGCCAUAGCACAAUGGCCUGCACGGGGAGCUAGCAUCUGGCCUGAAGUGCUCAGUUCUUUCCACACCAUAAUAUCUGCCAAUAUAAGCACAAAUGUUACUAUAAACAGCAGAAUAUCCACCAAGAGAACAAACUAAGCAUGCACAUAGAUUACCAUACCGCAGAAACUAGAGAAUUUCAUUUAAGAUGUCUGUUCACGGUAACCCCAAACAAACUUUACAGACGAGAAAAAUACAAAAUGCAUUAGGAUCUUAAGUCUUUAUGAUGAUCUAAGUCACAUACCCGUGUCAAGAACAAAAACGUCAGAGAGGUAAUAAUCAGAUGCAUCUUCACCGCCGAGAACAAUAAGUUUAUUUCUCCAAGAUGCACAUGUGUGGCUAUCACGUGCAGAUGGUGGGGUACCGGAUGUAACAGCACGCUCCCAGAUGAAGUUCUCUGAUGUUUUAAGAGAAAGCAAUGAGGAAUAAAGCAAGUUAACAUGCAUGGUAAACAAAGUAAUCAAGAUCCAGUUUAUAGCUUAGCAUGGAUCACGGAAAAAAUAGAUAUCAAAAUAAGAAGUAGAAACAUCAGCAAGAUUUAAUCAAUCCAAAAGCAGUAAGUCAUCAUCCAGAACAGAAUUAGUAUUGAAAUCAUGAAUUAAUAAAGUGAGGUGAGCAUCAAUAAACGAGGAUAAAAAAGCAGUGCAUCCAAAUUUGUUAGGCAUACCAUUGCCAUUGAAGUACAUAUUUUGUUCGAUCUUAGCACACUCAGCAAAUCUUCCAAACCAAGAAAAUCUCCAGAAUAAAAUUGAUACGGGGAAUAGUAGCAUAAAUAAAACUUAGAAUUCUCCUUCAGGAAACAGGAAAACCUCGGGGGAUAAACUAUUAUUCUUGUUAAGCGGCUUUAAGAUGACUCGAUCUGAACAACUCAUGGUUCAUUCUAUUGAUCUAAUUUAUCCUAAUCAGCUUGAGACAAACUCAUGUUCUGAUUUCUCUUCACCCUUUUAAAGACAGCUUAUGGAGGCACAAACCUUUAAGAGUCUACACCAUCCUGGUCGGAGACAAAUCUGAGUCGAUAGAACUCACCGUAGUUUAUUUUAUCUGACUCUGUCCAAUAGUCGCUAGACCAACGUACCUAUAGGGAUAAGCCUUUUAGCUAAAGCUCCUACACAUGUAGCGGCUUAUUAAAGUUUGCCAUGAAUGACUAAUUGACCUGCCUUUAUCAAUCACGAUGUCAAUACAUUUGUAACAUUGUUACCUGAAAUCUCGUGACGUGAAAUAAAUAAUAUGAAAUGAUUAUCCGGGAACCAAAGAAAAUUGGAUAGCUCCAGAAAGGUCUCUGAGAAAUUAGGGUUCACAACCACAAAAUUGUGCAAAAAAGCAGACGAAAUUAUCCUUUAUGUCGAAUGGAAAAAUUUAUCACAAUGCGCUCGAUUUUAUCCAUGUUAGCCGAUUUUUUUUUUACAUGUUGCUUUGAAAUGACGUGUUAAAAGUUAUGGCUGAAAGGAGAAUAAAACUGGAAGGAAGAUAGAGAGUGACCUGGAACAGAAGAAAAAAAAGAAGAAGACUCACAUGUCCAUCAUCAUUAACUAGUUACAUGUUUUUUUAGGAGGAUAAAGCCACUAUCAUGUCAAACAAAGUGAAACAUACUGUCACAUUAAACAGAGUAGAAGACAGACCUUUAAGAGUGGGUCUCGAGAAUAUCAAAAAUUUGUGAACAAUAGAUGCUUAACGCCCUGAUGUUUGAAAUAUUAUCCCGUAUUUAAUUGAAUAAAUGAAGCAUUAGCGAUCAUCUUUAGCUUGGCAAAGGCAUGAGCGUACACACUUUCAUGCUUCCCAACGCAAGAACUUCAAAUCUUCAAAGGGAUCUCAUCCUCAACCAAGCCUAAUGGUGCAUGAAAAUUUAGUGCAAUCAAAAAAAUUUCAUCUCCAUAACUGACUUGUUCUCCACAUGGAAUUGUGUACCAUCAAUCUAACUACCAAAUAUUGAUCAAAUUCUUUACCGGGAGAUUUGAGAUAUACGUCAAUUAUUAUGUGAAAUUAUUGUUGUUACGAACAUAUAUCAGGCCAUACAACAACUACCAGUGGUGAUCCCUUACCAACUUUCACUUGGUUCAACGUACACGGAAUACCUUGCACCUUAUAUACUGCCUCAUAGUUGCAUUAUUUCUGUAAUCAGUAAAUCUUAGUUUCAUAUGCUUCAUAUGUGAAUGAUUAAAGAUACAGAGACAAGGUACAUGUUCAUUCAUGAGAAGUCUGAUGCAUAAAUCGAGGGCAGACAAAUUUCAUGUUGAGAAAUCAAAUUAAGCAGUUCUUCAGAAAAUAAAGAUAACAUCAACAACACUGGAUAAACAAUUGUCCAUAGAAUGCCAUAGUAAAUUAAGGUCGUGUUACAAAGCAGGAGAACAAUACCUGUGUCCAGUAUGUAGAGGUCAUCAUAAUACACUUCUUCGGAAUUGUUUUCAGAUUUCCCACAUCCUCCAAAUAUAAAAAGUCUCGUGCCCACCAAGGCAGCACUAUGCCCUUCUCGUGCAUCUGGUCCCUUUCCGCACACGCUAGGAAGUAUCCAAGUAUUCGAUGCUGUACAAGAGCAAGAUGGGAAUAUUAGCCUCUACUGCAAUCAUUCAGCAGAUAUUAACAAGAGAUUCAACUUUAAAAAAUUACCACGAUAAUUCAUAAUAUUGUCUAAAAUAUCACCUAUUUACUCUAUGAGAUGAGAACUGAAAGUCAAAAUUAAACACAAUAACUGACAAUAAUAGAAUGGAGAUGAAAAUGAUUAAGAAUCUUCACGUGGCUAAGAACCCUUGGUGCAAAUUUAGCUAUUUUAGUUUAAUGAACUUGGUUUCAGCCGAAAUUUUAGUCCAUGUGAUCCAUCGAUAAUGAAAGAAGGCUGUGGAUUCAAACUGAAGGCUCUAUACAUAUGAAAACAAAAGAGAGCCAACCCCAAGUUCACAGCGGCAUGAAAUGUUAGUCACGGAUCAAUCUGGUUCAAUGGAGAUACUGUGGGUUUUGGCCGCCUAAAGAGACCUGCCAACUCCUAAAUUUAGUGUUUACAGGUUCUCUCAGGAGCUCCAGUCUCUGACAAAUGUUGUAUCACUCAAUAGCCUGGAUUGAAUGUUUACUGGGGUGCGACCACGGUUUAGGCAACUUUAACACCAAACAUAUAUAUGUGGAACUGGAGAAAGCACGAGUUCAGGGAGACACUCUCAACCUAAUAUGAGAUCACCAAAUAGAUAUGAUUGCACAUAAAUUCCAACGUUUAAACGGCAUCAUUUUAUUUAUAAAUUAGUAAUUCAUUCCCGUAUGUGGGCAACCUAGAGAAACAUACCCUUUUAUUUUGAAAUCAAAGGGUACAGAAAAACGCAAAUAUUUAUAAAAGAAUAUCAUUGUUAGUCAUAAAUUAUAAAUCGCAACUUCUCUGUGAGUCCGGCCUCUACAUUAUGCAAUCAGAUGAGAGAGGAAAAUGCAGCAAAAAAGAUGAGCAAGAUACAGUUAGCUUCAAGAAACAAAUCUUCUUCCUGUUCAUCUAUUAGAUUCACACAGCAACAUUGGCACGAGAAACUUUGAUACUUGAAACAUCAUACCAAUUUUCCGUACCUACCCCAAACACCAAAUAAAUUCAUUGCUUUACGUAGAUAAUUCACAUAUGUAAAACAUGUCUCAAGCACGUUCAUUUCUCUUCAUUAGCUAUGCAAGACAUUCAAUCAUGAAUUUCAACAUAUCAGCUAAAGGCAAAGAAAAUAGUACAUCUUUACAUACAUGUGUCGAGAACAUAAAGAUCCUUUAAUGGGUUUUUCCCGUCUGUUCCACCAAAUACAAACAGUUUACUUCCAACAGUUGUGCAAGUAUGGCUGUCCCUUGGCGAAGGAGGAAGACCCUUCAUCAUCGGUUUGCUCCAUGUCUGCUUACCUGCAAAAAUAUCAAACCAUUCCCAUAUGUAAAUACAGGGAUAAAAAAAACAUUUUAAAACUUGAGGAAAAAGACUUUCCUUAAAAAGUUAGAGAGCCUUUGGCUUUUCUUGUAUGAAUCGGAAUUAUGCAUAACGUAGACAAAGGAUAAUCUGUUAAUUAGUUAUUCAGAAAAAAAAUUAUAAAGACCUAAACCAAACUUCAGCAGAGGUUAUAGUGAUUAUCGAGAGAGAGACAGAGAUCGAGAGAGAGAGAGAGAGAAGUAAAAAGCAUUAUGUGGAAGGAAAUUGUUAUAAAUUAAUGCUACAUAUGAAUACUAAAAAGGAAACAGCGAAGAGACAAUCAUUAUGGUGCAAAAAUUUGUAUAUGAAAUAUAGGUAUGGAACAGUAAGGAACCUAAAAGGAUAUUUACAGUCCCUUCAAUACAUAACAAAAAUACUGUUUUCAAAGACACUCGUGCGUAUUUGAGUCAUGAAGUUGAGGGAACCCAAACUGAGGUCCAGAGACCUGUAAAACACCUUAGCCAUUGACUAUUCCCCCACAACCACUAACAACAAGAAAAAGGAGCAAAAAAUUAGGAAGAGAUGAUGCAAUAGAAUAAACCAGUAUGAGUAAGGUAAGUGCUGCGCAUUGAAGUAAUUUGCCUGAUCCCGGAACCAAACAGAAACUCCCAGAGAUCCCAAGUCAUUCAGUCAUUGAUUGUGUCCAAGUGUUGAACAAGUUCAAACUUGAAAUUGCAUAAAGAUUGAAAACAUACGAGCAAAAGGCUAAAUUUCCCACGAAAACAUCCAGAGGAGGCCCAGAAACCUAUUUUCCAGGGAUCGGAGCGCAUAAUAACCAAGAGAAAAAGAAAAUGGAACCCAAAAGGGAAAUGCAAAAGGAUAGCGUUCAAGUACAUCUGUAACCAUUCGAGAAAGAAGGAACGACGAUGCCCAUAUUAGCCUGAUUUGAUCAGUCUGAAUUCGGUACAACUCAUGAUUCGAGAACUCAAGGAGUGGCACGUGGCCGGUCAGAGGUUGAAAUCUGUGAAAAAAGCUCAUGAUAAAUCUGUAAAUGCGGCCAAAUAUACACCCCGCAUCUCAUGAUCAAGACACGACAUCAAAGAAAGAAUUCCAAAGUUCAGAUUUUUUGACAUCUCAGACCAGAAAAUUAACAAUGCAGGAUGCCUCGUAAUCGACAAGCGAGCACCAGACCUGCUCGGAAUGCCCAAAGAUGAACGAACAAAGAGCAGACCAAAGAAGAGGGGAUGAGAAGGUUUCUCAGCUAACCAGUAUCGAAGACGUGAACAUCAUUCGUCUGGCAGUUGUCCUCGCCGUAGCCACCAAAUACAUAGAGAAAUCUGCCGCCCUUGACGGCAUUGCAUGUGUGACCCCACCGCCUCCUGGGGCCCCAUACUCCGCCUUUCCUUCCCGCCGACUUCUUCCCCUCCGGCGUCUCUCUCGCCCUGGCGUUCACAUGCACCCUUUCCCACCUCAUUGCCCUCCCAAGCCACCCCCCGCCGCCGCAAUAAUUCACCACACCGUUGUCAACACCAGGGAACGACGGCUUCGUUCCGACCCGCAAGGCACCGGGGAGACAACAGGAGAACGAGAAAUGUGAGCACGAUCAGGAAACCUCAAAAGGAAUGACGAGGAUUCUGCGCAAGGGAGCCUACUGGGAAAAUUAUCGCAGACCCGAGGCAGACUUGCCAUAGAAAUAUUCACAUCGUUCAUCUACGAGAAGCCCAGAUGCUUUCUGACGGAGACUGAGGAGGACGGGUGGCAACGGACGAUGGGAGGAAGCCUGGCUGGUUUGCUUGCUCUGUCAAGGGCAAGCCGGCGGAUUGUUAGGGUUCGGGCAGCUGGGUUUGUGAAUCCUAAUGAGUGCGCCAAUGGAUUCGUAUUUUACUUCCGAUUGCAGCCCCCUCCUUCGCUUCCUCCUUUCAUUCAAAAUUUGCAGAUGGCGUGCGGCCGGCGUGCGGAGGGGGGCGCUCGUGAGCAGACGGCAACAGGAGCAGCGGCAGCGGCAGAACCGUAAUUAUGCGCUUUUAUGACCAACGACGGCAUUUACAACCUUGGAGACGGAUUCUUCAACUGGGAUCGAGAACGAGGUAGCAGAAUUCUACUUGAAAACCCUAAAAAAUGGAGCAACUUUCUGGCCGCCUGAUUUAUCACCUCGCAUAUUCCUUGCCCAUGCUCAGUCUCCAACCGACCCAACUGCGUCGACAAUCAUUUGAGCUGAAAUUACUCACUGGGCCAUUUGCUAACGCUUCUAAAAGUCAACCCUUUUCCCCACCGGCCCGAACUAGUUUUGGGCUAAUGGUUAUCGGGCUUUGACCACCGAUGCACAAGUGCUCUCUCUCUCUCUCGGGCCUUAGAGCAUCGAGGCUCUUCUGAUGGAUCGUCUGAUAUAUAUAUAUAUAUAUAUAUAUAUAUAUCUAUAUGAAGGGGGUCACAGGAGGUGAUCCGAGCGGAUAAGCAGCGAAGCGGGGAAGAGGCGGGCCACCGAGGAAGAGGAUGGAGAAGUACUUCGGGAACCCCUACCGGGGAGACCCAGGCGUUCCUCAUACGAACCCUGAGAGCUUCGUGAACAUAUGGAUCGGGUCCUUCGCCUUCUCCGCCAUCACCUGGUCCAACCCCUACCUCUGGCAGCUCUCCAACCAGUUCAAGUGAGAUAAUCCCUCCUCCCCUUCUCCUCGCUGUUGUUCCCGUUCCUCUUCCGAGUUCCAGAUUGCUUCGAGCUAGUUGCCCUCUCGAUUAUUUCUCAACUAUACCUGUUCCUUCACAACUAUUUCUCGUCGGCUGAAGGGAUGCCGCUUCUAAGUCUAACAACAACUGAGAGGAGAUUGUUCUUUAUAGUGGGGGGACCUUGCCCUGUCUUAGAGCCGACCGAUUCUUCUGCUGCGGUUCUGAUUAUCUUAAAUGGGGACGCCGGGGGGGCGGGGGAUCUUCGUGUGGUGUUCUUGCCUUCGUGCCUUCCGAGUGGUUUCUUUCUGGUUUACAACAAUGUUAGAGCGAGAAUUAGUACUGAGAACGCCUACGAGAAGUAGAUGAAUUAGCAUGCAGUUGGAGAAUGCAUAGAAAUCGAAGGUGGGGAAUCCAGCUGACGAAGCCGGGCUUUUAUAUUUGAGAUCCUUCUCUGCAUGCGGUGACUUUGGGAUCGAUUGCUUUGAUUUGCAAAAUUCUCUUCUUUGGCCAUCCUAAUUUUGCAUGAAUCACAUCGAGUGGAGAUAGGGAAAGCAGAAAAUGUGGAAACAGUUCACCUAUAUUAGGAAACAUGGGCUUUUUCCAAUCUAAAUAUCUCAGUAAAAGGACGAUGUAUGCUGUUUAUUGGUUUCGAAUUCCAUUCGUGCUAGAACAGUGUGCUUGAUAACAAGUGCACUAAUUCAACUAAAAAAAAUUGCGCAUUAUAUGUGUAAGAAAUAUAGUUUUAUAUUCCUAUGCCUGGGGGAGUGAUGAAUGCAGUAAUGAACACAGAAGGCAUGGACGACAUAAUUUUAUCUUUCUUUUUGGACUGUGGAUGAUGGACUUCAUAUCAUUUGCUUCCUGUUGGCGUGCUUAAGAUCAAAUUGUGAUUUCUUUUAACCUCAGAGGAAUGAGGAGGUUUUUAAUGGUUGUGCUUCUGAAAUCUAUGGGUGUCGAUUUUUCAUGGUUACUGAUGUCCCUAUUGAGAUUAAAAUGGAUCAUUUUAAGUUUAGAAGAAAAAAUAAAUAAAUCUGGUUGUGGGUCUCGUCUGCCACAUCCUCACUGGUUCCAGCUCUCCUUCCCAUCCAAGUAAAGAUUAAAGGAAAACUCCUGAAGGUUCAAGUUUGUACACUUGUAUAUUGAUACCUGAGAUUCAUAUCCAAAUCGGAUAAGUUUUAUUUUUUGUUACUUUUAGUAGAUAAUUGCUCAUAUUUUGAUGCCACUAGUGAGUUUAUUGCGUGAGAAAUUAAUGAAGGUUACAAUGGGAAGUGUGUUAUGUGAUAUUUUGAUCUUUUAAGCAUGUCUGUAGCCCUCGAAGUUGAACUUAUAUUCUUUAGAUGAUGGCAUGUCUUCGUAAUCAGAGAAAAGUCAAAGGCCUGCUGAGAGUUAGAAAAUAUAAAGACAAGAGGAGCAAAGCAGAGGGAGAGCGGAUUAAUACAUUGACAAAAUACCUGCCGAGCACCUCAACGUUGACUAAAUACCAUACUUACGGAACUUUGUUGAUCAAACGGCCUAAUACAAUCUUUUAUUUUAUAACCAAAUCGUUGGGGGAAUCAGAUUCAUCCUAUGAUUUUGGUGAUCAUUUAAAGCUUUUUUUGGAAGCUUCAAGCUAAUCUCUGCAGUGAUAUUUUUUGAUUCUCAUCUUCUACAUGUAUCGUUGCAGCUGGCAUGAUAGGGCGAUGAUGUUUGAACAUCACCACUGGAAGAAAGCAAUUGAGAAGAAGCAGCCAUACGAAUUUAAGGCAAGCGUCAGAUCUUUUUCUGCGGCAGUUCCUAAUACCUUCGAUUCUUCACGGAAGGAUUCCCAAAAAUAAAUAGAAAUAACUAAUUAUUGACGUCAUAAUGCCCGUAUUUCUUGAUGUUACUGCGAAAAUCUACGGGCAUGGCGUCCAACAUUAAGCUGGAGUAAGAAUUAUGAUCUGAUAAUUUUUUUUUCUUUUCAGUGGAACAAGCACAUGGACAAGGCCACACGUGAAUCUUACUACAACAACUGGCCUGUCUACUUCGCGUAGCUGCUGCGUCUGGUUUGCGUUAUCUCUCAGGUCAAGCGUUUCAGUGCCAGCAAUCUCAUGGACGUGGCGGUCUAGCUGAUGGGUUUUCCAUACAUGGAAGAUCUGUAAAUGGAUGGGCUCUGUUUCUGUGAAUCCUAAGAUAGACUCUGUUCAGUUUAUGCGCGGUUGAAGGCGAUCGCUGGCUGCACUAAUUUGGUAUUUAUGGCCUGAUGAGAUUGAGUUAUCUGCCAGAUUAUGGGCUUGGCUUUUUUUUUCUCAUUUUCAUGGAUCUUGAUAUAAUUAUCCUUUAAGGGAAAUGACUUUGAUUAGUGAUCUCAAGAGCAGUAGGGAGAGUCAACGGGUCUGAUCGGCCUGAACCCGGCACCAGCCCGGUAUACAGUAACCCCAAUUCUCAAUGAGCAGCGCAUGAGAGAGAGAGAGAGAGAGAGAAAGAGGGUUGUGAUGUUGAUUAUUCUCAUGGGCUUUAAUUUUUAAUUCUCUAUAUUGGAAAAAAAGGACCAGAGUGGUCCAAAAGUCAACGGCCUAUUGUAUCCUAGACGUGGGCCAAGUAUGAUGCUCGCACCGUCAGAGGUGCAAACUCGCCUUAAAGUCCGGACCUUUUCGCAAACUAUAAUAAUACAGUUGUCAAUUUUAUGAUUAAAUUAAUUAUAAUAUUCGACUGUAAUAUUAUAGACAGAAGAGUAACAUAUUAAAUAAUAAUAAUCUUAUUAUAGACGGUCACCUGCCAGAAGAUAAACAAAAAAAAUUACGCCUUGCGCAGGAAGAUAAGGAAGGAUGCCAUCGCUGGACCCAUCAUACAGACGACGAGGAUUGAAAGGCUAAAAAGAAGAGUUUUUUUAAUAUAAACCGCUCCCACCCCGCCCUCUGAAACUACUAGCGGGGUUGAGGUUCAGAAAGAAUGGGCGGCGCCUGCCUUCUCAAGCUCAGAGAAGAGGCAAAAGAGUAAAAGACGGCUGCCACCGGCCCACGGCGGCGUUAGCGCCGUCAGGAGAAGCUCGAGCGAGCGGGGUUCACGAUGAUGUGCCUUAGUGGGUGGGCAACGUCGCCGCCGCCGGCGUGCUUGACGAACUCCGCCGGCGAGAGGAAGCGGCCAUGGCAGACGCAGACUAUCCUCACCUCCUCUCCUUUCCCGUACCUGUAGAGGAAGCCCUCGACCCUCCGCCCGUUGGGGCCGUCGCCCCUUGCGGAGACGCAGGGCAUGUCCUCCAUUAUCCCCCUCAUCCCGUCGCAUCCGGCGGCGCCACCCUCCUCCGAUGGCGGUGAGUCUCCCUCCACCGCCGGCCUAGCGCAGUUCGUGGGCUUCCUUACCGCCGCCGCCGCCGCCUUCUCGUCGCCAGGGUCUGCUAGUGACUGCACGACCGACGAGCCCCUCGGAUCGGUGGUGCCAUUGCCCACUUCUGAAUUGACACAGAAUAAAAGGAAAGGUUCAAGAUCGAGUGAGAACAGGCCCGGAAAAAAAUUACUGAAGCUUCGGAAAAUCUAGGCUAGUAAGAGGCCGAGUAAUCAUCGUGUGAAAAUAGUUAAUUUCAAUUCUAGGUUAGAGCCCUCGUAGGAACUCAUCAAUGAAUAUCUGAUGAACUCCAUUGAGGAAACCUCCGUUGAAGCUGGCAUGGCAAUUGAAUGAAUGGGCUGACUCAGGAUGGGGAUCAUCGACUGGUUCGAUGCAAGGGGAUGAAUAUCAGCCUGAAGAGCUGAUAUUCAUCUUUGAUAAUUUUCAUAUAGUUAAAAAAAAAAAUUUCAAAAAAUUGAAACUUACAUGGAUAAUUAAGGAAUGUGAGAGAAAAUAUGGGCAUCAUCCGUUUCUGCAUUUUCUGCUCCUAUCCGUUUCAAUGGAAAGGGGGAGAGGGAGAGGGAGAGGGAGUGUAGGUUGCAGAAAAAUUUCAGUCCUUUACAGAACGAACUGAUAAGAUUUCACAGUCCGUUCUUUAAAGGGUUCUCUUUUUCUCAAGAAUUGAGGCUCCACAUAGAGACCAAGUCAUCCAAAGUCGUCAGAUUCCGAUUCCAGUUAGUGAUGGAUCAAAAAAGAACACUGAAGAUCAGAUUUUGGCCAGAAAUCAGUCUUUUCCGAGCAAGGGUUCGGAUUCAAGAAUAAGAUAAUCUGAAGAAAUAUCAAAACCUCUCUCUCUCUCUCUCACACACACACACACACACACACAGAAAGGCUGGGUAUCCAAAAAAAAAACCCUUGUGAUUUUCUGUUGUGCUAGAGAUACGUAUAUAUAUCCACGAGGAGGGUUGAGCAGAACCCUAACGACAAGCCCUCACAAAAAAAAUGGCUGAUACAACAAUUAAUGUGAAAGAAAUAUCUGUGUUUUUUAAUCCUCCCCAUAUCAGAUCAGAUUUUCUCUCUCAGGGGAUGUUCUUCCUGGCACGUUAGAACUGGGGACAGAGAAAGAAAAGAACCCCAUCUCUCUUAGGGAACUCAUUUUAAGCAAUUUAAUUGAGACCCAGAUCCCAUCACAAGGCAAGAACACUCGAAAGCACCACCUCAAGCGAAGAAAAAAAUCAGCAGUAGAAUUUCGACGACUGAGACCGAAUGGAACAGAGACCCCAAGAACUCGCUCAUAGAGAGGAGCAUCGGGAAAGUACCUGUUCGUGUGAUGGCGAAAAGGAUGAUACCAGGAAAUGGCUAGAAAGAUUGGACGAGAAAAAGAGGUAUUUUUGAAUGAAACUGUGGUGAGAGCGAGCAAUGGCGAUACCUUCUUGCUUGGGCCGUCGGCUGUCAAAAUCGGACGACCCAGAAGAGCUGCUCCCCUGAGAUCCCACCGAGCCCUGAGACGCAGGGGCGAAGCGCGUCCCCGCGGCCACCCGUCGCUCGCCGUCUCCGGCUACCCAAAAGGGGAACGCCUCCGCCGCCGCUCCGUUGGGCGGCGCCGCCCCCGCCCCCGCCCCGAAGUGGGUUAGCCUGGGGCAACCACGAAGCCUCUCAAAUUCGGAACUUCGGAAAUUCCUGACCCACCCGCUGUCCGCCUGAUCGCCACCACACAGCGGGGUCCCGUCCAGGUUCUCGGCUCUCCUCCUCUUCGCUUCCAUCCGCCUCAGGCAUUGCAACUCCUUCCUCUUUCUCUCUCCCUCCUUGGGCUCCACAGGAAGGGAGCAAGUCCUCGUGAGCAGCGUCGCAGCACCAGGCUCGUGUCCCCCCUGUUGAAGGAAAGGCACGAAGGCGAUGGAGGAAGAUCUCCGCAGACCAUUCCGGCGACACGGGUCCGCCCCGAAGCUGCCGCCCAGAGACAGGCCGAGGCUGACCUCGAUCUCGCCCGAGUCCUCAACACCGCCCGACGCCGCCUCCCGCGGCUCUUCGGGGCGGAUAUCCCCCGAGAGUUGUCGCAAUAGGUCCCUCGGGCAGCCACGGAUGCCCUUCGAAGGCUGAGUCUCACCAUCGUCUUCUGCAGUCUCCCUCAUCUUCCCCCCAAUAGAGCACCCUGCGAAGACCGGGCAGCCCCCAGAUGCACUGGUCCGCAAGCUAAAGUUCCUCGCGGAGCUCUUCGGACGGCUCUCAUGGAGAAAACGAGGGACCCAUGAAAGGGAGUAUGGCAGAAGACGGCAACAACCCGGAGUUAAACAAGGGCAAGAGAGAUUCCUCCUCUUCCUGUCCCCAAUCCGGUCUCCCACAGAAACACCAUGGAAUAAAGCCCCGAUCUUCGAUAAAGGCCUCUGGAAGAUAUCCACACACGGAAACGGAAGAACAGGGGACUCAGUGGAGCCGCGGAAGGAGCACUACAGCGGAGACGGGUUGGGGGGGAGAAUGGGGGAGGAGGAGACGGGGGAGAUGCUCGCUGCUUUAUUUUUGCAUCCACCCCCCGCCUCUGUGCCUGUAAACCUGGUG